AAGAGACAAGGUGGCACUCAUUUAGCAGAGAGCACUCAGGAGUAAAGCUGUUUUCUCAAAGGGCAAGUUGCAGGCAGUUAGAGUUAGAAGUAGGGCAACAUGUAGCCGAGUUUGAAAUUUAUGGCCGUUGGGUUAUACUGGCGACCACAGAACUGGAGGCCAAGCAGGAGGUAACAGAUGCCUUCCUGAUGGUGACCAAGACUGGAAUGGAGACUGCUGUGGUUUCAGGGCCGGGCCAUGCUCAGAGUCAGAGACUCUGGGCUGAGUUUUGGGGGCUGUUCUCUUGCCUCAGAUUCCACAGUGGUCAUUCGUGGGCAGACAGGCAGGUGUCCAGAACUGGACUGGGUGUGUUUCCAGUUCUGUGACCUUCCCCUCCACUCCACUUGGUCCUGGGAAUCAGACCCAUAGCGUAACUCUUCAAUUGGUGAUGGUGCCCUUCCCUGUUGAGGGAGCCGAGAAGAUCCUUUGGGCCUGUUUUGAGAGUCACAGACUUGAUCUGUUGCCUUCAUCUGCUGACCUGAAUGUAAGGUUUCUUGGUGUUAAUCAUUGCCCCUGCUCUGCUUCCUGAAUUCCCCGUGGGUGUGGUUCAUCCAGGGCAGGGGAAUUGUAUAAGUUCAUUGCAGAUACACUGGUGUCUGUAUUAGUCACGGAGCAGGAGUCGAGGAUAUGAGGAAGAAGCAGCCAUGCGAAAAAACUUGAAGGUUUUGGAAAUCUUGAGAGUCCUCAAGGGAGGCACAGCAGCUUGAAGUCCAGGAACAAUCUGGAUGAUAUGGAAUAAACAUUACCUUUAAGAUGCGACACGUCCAAAAAGAUAGAUUGAAAACUCCUGUUUUCCAGUACAUCUUUAAAAAAUAUUAUUACUGAUACAGCUUUAUCGGAAGACACUGAUGGAUCCUGAAAUGACAAUGACAGUCCCCUGUUGUUGUCGUUGUUUUAAAAUCCAUGCUUUUAUCAAAAUUAAGAAGGUAUCAGGGCUUCCCUGGUGAUGCAGUGGUUGAGUCCACCUGCCGAUGCAGGGGACUCGGGUUCGUGCCCUGGUCCGGGAAGAUCCCACAUGCCGCGGAGCGGCUGGGCCCGUGAGCCAUGGCCGCUGAGCCUGCGCGUCGGGAGCCUCUGCUCCGCAAUGGGAGAGGCCACAACGGUGAGAGGCCCGCGUACCGCAAAAAAAAAAAAAAAAAAAAGGUAUCAGGAAAACCGGGCUCCUAAAUUCCUUCUUAACCCAAGGGACUGGGUUGAAUGUCUAAAGAAAUAUUUUCCUGAUAAUUAUCUCUUUCCUUAUUUCAGGCAUGAACUCUAUCUCCUUCACCCUACCUCAUCUGUACCUCUAGAAAACGCAUAACGAAACCUGGAGCGCCCCCUUUCUUAUGAGUCAAGACAGCUCCUUUCCCACGAGUUCCAGGGCCUGUUUGUGAAACAUGGCCUGGGCAAUUUCCCCAAGAGUCCCACAGUCCUGAGUGGACAGGCAAGUCCCAUGAUUCGGAAGUAGUGGCAUCGAGUGGUUGGAGGUGUGGUGACAGUCCAGGCUUCUGGUCUUCCAGGAAACCAAUUUCAUUGGUAUAAUCUUAACAGGUCAUAUUAUAUAUUAUAUACCAAAACCAUCUGCAGUUCUCUUAAAGGAUAAAAACCUGCAAAAAGAAGAUUGGCCAAGUUUCAACAUGGAGAACAGAAAGACUUGGAGGACCUGGCUAAUGCAAGCAGAUCUACCCAGCUUCUGCCUUGCCAGCUCUUAAUGAGCCCUUAAAUGUAAUCAUCUGUGUUUCACCUCCGCCCAGUGUGCUUUGUGGGUAACAUGGUUAUCCAGUCACUCAGCAAUUCAAGCCAUUCAACAAAUGGUCCAGUUGGGACAACCAAAGGACAGUGGGUUAUCAUGGUUAUCCCAGUGAAUAAGACCUUUAUCAAAAUUACAGAAGAGUGCCAAUGUGCUGAAUGAAAAUGUAUCCCAAGUGGCUGCUGGGAGAAUCUUUGCCAGAAGUGUAAAUUAUGUGGCAAUAUCUAAAAGAGCACGUUAUAAUAUCAGA